GUGAUCGCAUCGGCAGCACAUAUACUAAAAUUGGAACAAUACAGAGAAGAUUAGCAUGUCCCCUACGCAAGGAUGACAGGCAAAUUCGUGAAGCAUUCCAUAUUUUU
ensembl:snRNA U6 U6 spliceosomal RNA